rnacentral:rRNA from 1 species
UCCUUUCCUACGGGAGGCAGCAGUGAGGAAUCUUGGGCAAUGCCCCCAAGGCUGACCCAGCAACGCCGCGUGGAGGACGAAGGCGGUAUGGUUGUAAAUUCCUGUUAGAGGAGAAGAAUAGUGCCGAUGGAUCGGUAGUGACGU